CCUACGGGUGGCUGCAGUGAGGAAUAUUGGUCAAUGGGCUUACGCCUGAACCAGCCAAGUCGCGUGAGGGAAGACUGCCCUAUGGGUUGUAAACCUCUUUUGUCAGGGAGCAAUUGGCGCUACGUGUAGCGUUAUCGAGAGUACCUGAAGAAAAAGCAUCGGCUAACUCCGUGCCAGCAGCCGCGGUAAUACGGAGGAUGCGAGCGUUAUCCGGAUUUAUUGGGUUUAAAGGGUGCGCAGGCGGAUUUUUAAGUCAGCGGUCAAAUCGUGGGGCUCAACCCCAUCCAGCCGUUGAAACUGGGGAUCUAGAGUGUGCGAGAGGUAUGCGGAAUGCGUGGUGUAGCGGUGAAAUGCAUAGAUAUCACGCAGAACCCCGAUUGCGAAGGCAGCAUACCGGUGCACAACUGACGCUCAGGCACGAAAGCGUGGGUAUCGAACAGGAUUAGAUACCCGUGUAGUC
rnacentral:rRNA from 1 species